rnacentral:rRNA from 1 species
CCUACGGGAGGCAGCAGUGGGGAAUAUUGGACAAUGGGCGCAGGCCUGAUCCAGCCAUGCCGCGUGUGUGAAGAAGGCCUUCGGGUUGUAAAGCACUUUUAUCCGGAAAGAAAAGCUUUGGGUUAAUACCCUGAAGUCAUGACGGUACCGGAAGAAUAAGCACCGGCUAACUUCGUGCCAGCAGCCGCGGUAAUACGAAGGGUGCAAGCGUUACUCGGAAUUACUGGGCGUAAAGCGUGCGUAGGUGGUUUGUUAAGUCUGAUGUGAAAGCCCUAGGCUCAACCUGGGAAUUGCAUUGGAUACUGGCAGGCUAGAGUGCGGUAGAGGAUAGUGGAAUUCCCGGUGUAGCAGUGAAAUGCGUAGAGAUCGGGAGGAACAUCUGUGGCGAAGGCGACUAUCUGGGCCAGCACUGACACUGAGGCACGAAAGCGUGGGGAGCAAACAGGAUUAGAUACCCUGGUAGUCCACGCCCUAAACGAUGCGAACUGGAUGUUGGGUGCAACUAGGCACUCAGUAUCGAAGCUAACGCGUUAAGUUCGCCGCCUGGGGGAGGUACGGUCGGCGACGACGUAGAACGUACAAACGUAGAAGUUAGUACGGACGUUGAGACGUUGCCGACGGACGACGACGAGGGAGGAGGG